AUUGAACGCUGGCGGAAUGCUUUACACAUGCAAGUCGAACGGUAGAGGGGGCAACCCCUUGAGAGUGGCGAACGGGUGAGUAAUAUAUCGGAACGUGCCCAGUCGUGGGGGAUAACGUAGCGAAAGUUACGCUAAUACCGCAUACGAUCUACGGAUGAAAGCGGGGGACUCGCAAGAGCCUCGCGCGAUUGGAGCGGCCGAUAUCAGAUUAGGUAGUUGGUGGGGUAAAGGCUCACCAAGCCAACGAUCUGUAGCUGGUCUGAGAGGACGACCAGCCACACUGGAACUGAGACACGGUCCAGACUCCUACGGGAGGCAGCAGUGGGGAAUUUUGGACAAUGGACGCAAGUCUGAUCCAGCCAUUCCGCGUGCAGGAUGAAGGCCCUCGGGUUGUAAACUGCUUUUGUACGGAACGAAAAGGUUUCUAUUAAUACUAGGAGCUCAUGACGGUACCGUAAGAAUAAGCACCGGCUAACUACGUG
rnacentral:rRNA from 1 species